rnacentral:rRNA from 1 species
AAUCAACGCUGGCGGCGUGCCUAACACAUGCAAGUCGCGCGCGAAAGGGGGGCAACCCCCGAGUAGAGCGGCGAACGGGUGAGUAACGCGUGGGUGAUCUGCCUCCGAAUGGGGAAUAACAGCGGGAAACUGCUGCUAAUACCGCAUGACAUCCUCGGGUCGCACCGAGGAUCAAAGCCGGGGACCGCAAGGCCUGGCGCUUGGAGAUGAGCCCGCGGCCUAUCAGCUUGUUGGUGAGGUAACGGCUCACCAAGGCGACGACGGGUAGCCGGCCUGAGAGGGCGACCGGCCACACUGGGACUGAGACACGGCCCAGACUCCUACGGGAGGCAGCAGUGGGGAAUAUUGCACAAUGGGCGAAAGCCUGAUGCAGCGACGCCGCGUGAGGGAUGAAGGUCUUCGGAUUGUAAACCUCUUUCAGUAGGGACGAAGCGAAAGUGACGGUACCUAAAGAAGAAGCACCGGCUAACUACGUGCCAGCCGCCGCCGUAACAC